AUCCAGCUUUGUUGCAUUGCUCUGCAAAAAUACUCUGUUCCUAUCCCCUGUCUCUCGUCCACAUUGAUACAAAUCAUAAAUUGAUAAGGUACUAAGAUGUAGAAUGUCUCCAUCAAAUCCAAUAAGAGUGGGAGCUGAUCAAGGGGUCGAAAAUGUAGAUAUUGCCAGAUGUAUGUUCACUGUCCGAGGAACUGGCCGUGGAAGCUUAAUUGCUGGGUAAAGUGUCCAUAACCAGAGAUUCAGUAUGUGAAGGACCUGCUUUAUCAGGAGAAUCAUCUGGAAUCUGGAAACACUGACAAUGGGGUCACUGUUCCUGACAUCCCAUAUGCCCCCUGUCUACUGAGAAUCUUGAUGUGCUGCAACGUCAAGUGAACCCAACCACUGGACUUAUACAGCUCUGGAAAAAAUUAAGAGACCACUGCAAAAUGAUCAAUUUCUCUGGUUUUACUAUUUAUAGCUCUGUGUUUGGGUCCAAAUUUCACAGUGGGUGCGAGACACUGUGGCUUGUAGGCCCCUUGUAGGCCUCUCCAGGUGUCGUACCCACUGUGACAUUUGGUUGUCCUGGAAGAAAACUUGCUUCCUUCUGCGCUGACAAUGUUCCCCAACUCUGAGGAUUGUUUUUUCCAACAGGACAAUGCUUCACGCCACACAGCCAGGUCAAUCAAGGUGUGGAUGGAGGACCACCAG